ACGCUCGACACCUACGGGCAGCAGUGGGGAAUAUUGCACAAUGGGGGAAACCCUGAUGCAGCGACGCCGCGUGGAGGAAGAAGGUCUUCGGAUUGUAAACUCCUGUUGUUGGGGAAAAAGGGGAUGGUACCCAACAAGGAAGUGACGGCUAACUACGUGCCGCAGCCGCCGGUAAGUACUGAGCGGGCGUCGGCGAACGGGACG
rnacentral:rRNA from 1 species